GUGAACUCGAAGAGUAGGGCGGGACACGUGGUAUCCUGUCUGAAUAUGGGGGGACCAUCCUCCAAGGCUAAAUACUCCUGACUGACCGAUAGUGAACCAGUACCGUGAGGGAAAGGCGAAAAGAACCCCGGCGAGGGGAGUGAAAAAGAACCUGAAACCGUGUACGUACAAGCAGUGGGAGCACCUUCGGGUGUGACUGCGUACCUUUUGUAUAAUGGGUCAGCGACUUAUAUUCUGUAGCAAGGUUAACCGUAUAGGGGAGCCGCAGGGAAACCGAGUCUUAACUGGGCGUUAAGUUGCAGGGUAUAGACCCGAAACCCGGUGAUCUAGCCAUGGGCAGGUUGAAGGUUGGGUAACACUAACUGGAGGACCGAACCGACUAAUGUUGAAAAAUUAGCGGAUGACUUGUGGCUGGGGGUGAAAGGCCAAUCAAACCGGGAGAUAGCUGGUUCUCCCCGAAAGCUAUUUAGGUAGCGCCUCGUGAACUCAUCUUCGGGGGUAGAGCACUGUUUCGGCUAGGGGGUCAUCCCGACUUACCAACCCGAUGCAAACUACGAAUACCGAAGAAUGUUAUCACGGGAGACACACGGCGGGUGCUAACGUCCGUCGUGAAGAGGGAAACAACCCAGACCGCCAGCUAAGGUCCCAAAGUCAUGGUUAAGUGGGAAACGAUGUGGGAAGGCACAGACAGCCAGGAUGUUGGCUUAGAAGCAGCCAUCAUUUAAAGAAAGCGUAAUAGCUCACUGGUCGAGUCGGCCUGCGCGGAAGAUGUAACGGGGCUAAACCAUGCACCGAAGCUGCGGCAGCGACACUAUGUGUUGUUGGGUAGGGGAGCGUUCUGUAAGCCUGCGAAGGUGUGCUGUGAGGCAUGCUGGAGGUAUCAGAAGUGCGAAUGCUGACAUAAGUAACGAUAAAGCGGGUGAAAAGCCCGCUCGCCGGAAGACCAAGGGUUCCUGUCCAACGUUAAUCGGGGCAGGGUGAGUCGACCCCUAAGGCGAGGCCGAAAGGCGUAGUCGAUGGGAAACAGGUUAAUAUUCCUGUACUUGGUGUUACUGCGAAGGGGGGACGGAGAAGGCUAUGUUAGCCGGGCGACGGUUGUCCCGGUUUAAGCAUGUAGGCUGNUCCAGGCAAAUCCGGAUAAUCAAGGCUGAGGUGUGAUGACGAGGCACUACGGUGCUGAAGUAACAAAUGCCCUGCUUCCAGGAAAAGCCUCUAAGCAUCAGGUAACAUCAAAUCGUACCCCAAACCGACACAGGUGGUCAGGUAGAGAAUACCAAGGCGCUUGAGAGAACUCGGGUGAAGGAACUAGGCAAAAUGGUGCCGUAACUUCGGGAGAAGGCACGCUGGUGUGUAGGUGAAGUCCCUGCGGAUGGAGCUGAGACCAGUCGAAGAUACCAGCUGGCUGCAACUGUUUAUUAAAAACACAGCACUGUGCAAACACGAAAGUGGACGUAUACGGUGUGACGCCUGCCCGGUGCCGGAAGGUUAAUUGAUGGGGUUAUCCGUAAGGAGAAGCUCUUGAUCGAAGCCCCGGUAAACGGCGGCCGUAACUAUAACGGUCCUAAGGUAGCGAAAUUCCUUGUCGGGUAAGUUCCGACCUGCACGAAUGGCGUAAUGAUGGCCAGGCUGUCUCCACCCGAGACUCAGUGAAAUUGAACUCGCUGUGAAGAUGCAGUGUACCCGCGGCAAGACGGAAAGACCCCGUGAACCUUUACUAUAGCUUGACACUGAACAUUGAGCCUUGAUGUGUAGGAUAGGUGGGAGGCUUUGAAGCGUGGACGCCAGUCUGCGUGGAGCCAACCUUGAAAUACCACCCUUUAAUGUUUGAUGUUCUAACGUUGGCCCCUGACCGGGGUUGCGGACAGUGUCUGGUGGGUAGUUUGACUGGGGCGGUCUCCUCCCAAAGCGUAACGGAGGAGCACGAAGGUUAGCUAAUCCUGGUCGGACAUCAGGAGGUUAGUGCAAUGGCAUAAGCUAGCUUGACUGCGAGCGUGACGGCGCGAGCAGGUGCGAAAGCAGGUCAUAGUGAUCCGGUGGUUCUGAAUGGAAGGGCCAUCGCUCAACGGAUAAAAGGUACUCCGGGGAUAACAGGCUGAUACCGCCCAAGAGUUCAUAUCGACGGCGGUGUUUGGCACCUCGAUGUCGGCUCAUCACAUCCUGGGGCUGAAGUAGGUCCCAAGGGUAUGGCUGUUCGCCAUUUAAAGUGGUACGCGAGCUGGGUUUAGAACGUCGUGAGACAGUUCGGUCCCUAUCUGCCGUGGGCGCUGGAGAAUUGAGGGGGGCUGCUCCUAGUACGAGAGGACCGGAGUGGACGCAUCACUGGUGUUCGGGUUGUCAUGCCAAUGGCACUGCCCGGUAGCUAAAUGCGGAAGAGAUAAGUGCUGAAAGCAUCUAAGCACGAAACUUGCCCCGAGAUGAGUUCUCCCUGAGACUNNNNNNGACGUUGAUAGGCCGGGUGUGUAAGCGCAGCGAUGCGUUGAGCUAACCGGUACUAAUGAACCGUGAGGCUUAACCUU
rnacentral:rRNA from 1 species